AUAAAUACUGAUCUGAUUGGUCUGAUCUGAUUGGUUUGAUUUCUCAGCUACUGCUCUAGUCCCAGGAGUUGCCCAAGUCCCGAAUAAAUUCUGUCUUGCUCAAACUUUUAAAAUUUAAUUCACCUAAGGAAUUUUCCUUUUAACAGUUUUCAUGUAGUUGGCAAGAACCAAAGUUGAACUCCAAUAGCCCAGGAGCAACCAGGCCUAGAUACUAGAAGUCUAUCCUGUUCCUGUCUUGCUGCAUCUGGGAAUUAUAGGUGGCCACCUGGUCGAAGCACAUUUAUCUCUCCAUUUCCUUGCCCCUUCCCCAAAC
ensembl:lncRNA